CCAUCUCCAUUUAAACCGGAGCGAGCUCACUGCAAUGUGUGUUGCAUUUUGCUAGGUUGAAAGGUGUUCGAGUUUAGGGAGAAAAAUAUAUAAGAAGCUGUGCAGACUUGCCUUGCAAAUUAAAUGGCGAUGCCGGUGGAGACGGCGGUGUGCAUCGCGCACAAUGUGUUCCUGCUGCUCGAUGGCUGGGUCUGGACGUGCGUCCUCGCCGCCGAUGAGACCGCGCGCCUCCUCCGUUCGGCAACACAGAGAUCGGCCAGCUAACUCAAGGGUUGGAGAGCACUUCAGGUGCUCUAGCACCUUUGGGUGCUCCUGUACUCCCACAAACAAAAACCGCCAAAAAAUAUAUAAAAUAUUCAACCAAAAAAUAUAUAUGUAUAAAUGAUGCAAGGAAUUAUGUUCAUGUAAAAUUUGGUGUUAGAAAAUUUUAACGUAAGGAGAAACAAAUGGAGAAAUCAUCCUAUAAAUAGUGUGGGUUGUACGGUUUUUCUUAUACCCGCAACCCACCACUGUUUAUAGGCUGAUAUCACCUUUCUAUUUCUCCUCGUACAAAUAUUUUCACCCUCCAUUGAAGAUAGAUGCUUGCUUAUUCUAUCUAUACAUAUUUUUUUGCAACUCUCCAUGUGCAUCUACCGUUGUUUUAUUGAACGGGAGUACUGGAGCACUGGAACCGCGGGAGUAUAGUAGGUGCAUCGUGUGCAUACGAUGGUAGAUAUUGAUAUGUCAGUAGAUGCUUUCUCCUUUUUCCGGUAUACAAAAUGAUGUAAAUUCUGAGAUAGCUCAUAUAUUUUUUCCUUUCUUUCUUUUCUUUUUGUUUUCAAUAAA